rnacentral:rRNA from 1 species
UACAGAGGUCUCAAGCGUUGUUCGGAUUCAUUGGGCGUAAAGGGUGCGUAGGCGGCGCGGUAAGUCGGGUGUGAAAUCUUGGAGCUUAACUCCGAAACUGCAUUCGAUACUGCGGUGCUUGAGGACUGGAGAGGAGACUGGAAUUCAUGGUGUAGCAGUGAAAUGCGUAGAGAUCAUGAGGAAGACCAGUGGCGAAGGCGGGUCUCUGGACAGUUCCUGACACUGAGAGCACGAAGGCUAGGGGAGCAAACGGG